AUUGAACGCUGGCGGCAUGCCUUACACAUGCAAGUCGAACGGCAGCACGGACUUCGGUCUGGUGGCGAGUGGCGAACGGGUGAGUAAUGUAUCGGAACGUACCAUUGAGUGGGGGAUAACGUAGCGAAAGUUACGCUAAUACCGCAUAUUCUCUCCGGAGGAAAGCAGGGGACCGCAAGGCCUUGCGCUCUUUGAGCGGCCGAUAUCAGAUUAGCUAGUUGGUGGGGUAAAAGCUCACCAAGGCGACGAUCUGUAGCGGGUCUGAGAGGAUGAUCCGCCACACUGGAACUGAGACACGGUCCAGACUCCUACGGGAGGCAGCAGUGGGGAAUUUUGGACAAUGGGGGCAACCCUGAUCCAGCCAUGCCGCGUGAGUGAAGAAGGCCUUCGGGUUGUAAAGCUCUUUCGGCCGGGAAAAAAUCGCAUGGAUUAAUACUCUGUGUGGAUGAUGGUACCGGAAUAAGAGGCACCGGCUAACUACGUGCCAGCAGCCGCAGUAACAC
rnacentral:rRNA from 1 species